CCUACGUGGUGCAGCAGUGGGGAAUAUUGGACAAUGGGCGAAAGCCUGAUCCAGCCAUGCCGCGUGUGUGAAGAAGGCCUUCGGGUUGUAAAGCACUUUCAGUGGGGAAGAAAGCCUUGGGGCUAAUACCCUCGAGGAAGGACAUCACCCACAGAAGAAGCACCGGCUAACUCCGUGCCAGCAGCCGCGGUAAUACGGAGGGUGCGAGCGUUAAUCGGAAUUACUGGGCGUAAAGCGCGCGUAGGCGGUCUGAUAAGCCGGUUGUGAAAGCCCCGGGCUCAACCUGGGAACGGCAUCCGGAACUGUCAGGCUAGAGUGCAGGAGAGGAAGGUAGAAUUCCCGGUGUAGCGGUGAAAUGCGUAGAGAUCGGGAGGAAUACCAGUGGCGAAGGCGGCCUUCUGGACUGACACUGACGCUGAGGUGCGAAAGCGUGGGUAGCAAACAGGAUUAGAUACCCCUGUAGUC
rnacentral:rRNA from 1 species